rnacentral:lncRNA from 14 species
UCUAUCUGCUGGAAUCCGGGCGCCUGGAAGCAGAGGAGCUCUCAUCCCGCUCCAGGCGGGGCUGAUGGGAUUUGCACCGGUCCCAGUUGCCAUGGAGAGAGUGUUGGAUGGCUUUAAUACAUCUCAGUGAAUGUCUCCCCGGAGUUUCCCCAUGACAGGCUGGACUGCAGGCACAGACUGUGAUGGGAUCAAGUAAACCGGAGCUGAUGUUCUCAGCGAGAAAGGAGACAGCAAGAGAAUGAGGAGGAGCAGAGAGGGAAGGGCUGGCAAUCAGAACCCACAGAGCCUUAUGGAACAAGACCAGAUGCUCGUGGGCUUUUGAAAUAUGAAGUCCAUCACUCACUGAUCACUGUCACCUCCAUGGCAGAUUCUGCUUCUGGAAGCCAGGCACAGCACAGUGAGAGGGAUUUCAGUGAGGCUCAGAGGACAGUUCCCAUGGAAUACCAUGGGGAUGCUGCACAGCGAAGCGUGCGCUUCAGCGGAUACACCAGGGCUAUAGAGUAAUUAAUUAGUGAGUUUA